UGGGGAAUAUUGCGCAAUGGGCGAAAGCCUGACGCAGCGACGCCGCGUGAGGGAUGAAGGUUUUCGGAUCGUAAACCUCUGUCAGAAGGGAAGAAACCGCACUGUGCUAAUCAGCAGUGCCUUGACGGUACCUUCAAAGGAAGCCCCGGCUAACUCCGUGCCAGCAGCCGCGGUAAUACGGAGGGUGCAAGCGUUAAUCGGAAUUACUGGGCGUAAAGCGCACGUAGGCUGCUUUGUAAGUCAGGGGUGAAAUCCCACGGCUCAACCGUGGAACUGCCUUUGAUACUGCUUAGCUUGAAUCCGGGAGAGGGUGGCGGAAUUCCAGGUGUAGGAGUGAAGUCCGUAGAUAUCUGGAGGAACAUCAGUGGCGAAGGCGGCCACCUGGAGCGGUAUUGACGCUGAGGUGCGAAAGCGUGGGGAGCAAACAGG
rnacentral:rRNA from 1 species